CAAUAACUGUUUUUUAUUUAAAAAAGAAAACAUGAUAGGCAAUGAUGAGGGAAGUAACUUAGGGGUGCAGGGAAUUUAAAAUACACACAAUACAUGUCAACAGAAAAAAAUAUAAAUUUUUAUAGACUACAGAUGUAUAUGGGUUUUCUCUUCACUUGGCAGAAAUUCUUUAGAUAUCUCAACAUACCCUGAGUGUCAUCUCUCUCUUACUUACUUCCAUUAUUUGUGAAUCCUUCAAAGACUAGGCAGCGGCACCUCCUACUGUGUAUGGUACAGUGAAUGCUGGAACUGAGCAGAGUAAGAGAUGGCUAUGCUGCCUUGGUCACUCACCUUUCUCCUGUUAAUCCAACAGGGAAAAUAGAAUUCUUGGGCGGUGAAGAACAGCUACAUCCCCUAUGACCUCUAUUGUUGAACAAUUGUUUGGAAUGGAAUUGACCUAUAAAAGUUUGCUUUAGGUUUUGUUCUGUGGUUAAGCUGUUCAGAUCAUGAAAAUAUUCAUAUAAACAUAUGACUUACAACACAACCCAAAGGACUUGCCUUUCUACAAAUAAACACUGUCACAAGUUAAAAUAAAGUUAAUAUGAAAGAUUUCUCCAGCAGACAGUCUUAUAUUACCUAAGACUCACUGGUGAUAAGUAAUGUGAUUUGACAUGCAGACUUUCUUGCAUAGAUAAACACAUGCCUUAAGCAUAUCAUUCUAUAUUAAAGGGAAUGCAAAAUAAAAAAGAUGUCGAUGAAGAAAAGAAAAGGCUCUUUUGAUUACUAGAAGUAAGGUUAAAG